rnacentral:rRNA from 1 species
UUUUACGGAGAGUUUGAUUCUGGCUCAGAACGAACGCUGGCGGCGUGGAUAAGACAUGCAAGUCGAACGGGAUUCCUUUCGGUAGCAAUACUGAGAGGGAUUUAGUGGCGAACGGGUGCGUAACACGUGGGGAAUCUGCCGAGAAGUGGGGGAUAGCUCGUCGAAAGGCGAAUUAAUACCGCAUAUGAUCAGCCAAGACAUCUUGGCGACAUCAAAGCCGGGGCAACCUGGCGCUUCUUGAUGACCCCGCGGCCUAUCAGCUAGUUGGUGAGGUAACGGCCCACCAAGGCUAUGACGGGUAGCUGGUCUGAGAGGACGACCAGUCACACUGGAACUGAGACACGGUCCAGACACCUACGGGUGGCAGCAGUCGAGAAUUUUUCUCAAUGGGGGCAACCCUGAAGGAGCGACGCCGCGUGGAGGAUGAAGGCUUUCGGGUCGUAAACUCCUGUCAUUUGAGAACAAGUGCCAAUAAGUAACUACUGUUGGCUUGAUAGUAUCAGAAGAGGAAGGGACGGCUAACUCUGUGCCAGCAGCCGCGGUAAUACAGAGGUCCCAAGCGUUGUUCGGAUUCAUUGGGCGUAAAGGGUGCGUAGGUGGCGCCGUAAGUGGGGUGUGAAAUUCCGGAGCUUAACUCCGAAACUGCAUUCCAUACUGCGGUGCUUGAGGACUGGAGAGGAGACUGGAAUUUACGGUGUAGCAGUGAAAUGCGUAGAGAUCGUAAGGAAGACCAGUGGCGAAGGCGGGUCUCUGGACAGUUCCUGACACUGAGGCACGAAGGCUAGGGGAGCGAACGGGAUUAGAUACCCCGGUAGUCCUAGCAGUAAACGGUGCACGUUUGGUGUGGGAGGAUUCGACCCCUUCCGCGCCGGAGCUAACGCGUUAAACGUGCCGCCUGGGGAGUACGGUCGCAAGAUUAAAACUCAAAGAAAUUGACGGGGGCCCGCACAAGCGGUGGAGUAUGUGGCUUAAUUCG